AACGAACGCUGGCGGCAUGCCUAACACAUGCAAGUCGAACGAGACCUUCGGGUCUAGUGGCGCACGGGUGCGUAACGCGUGGGAACCUGCCCUUAGGUUCGGAAUACCUCCCCGAAAGGGGUGCUAAUACCGGAUAAUGUCUUCGGACCAAAGAUUUAUCGCCUUUGGAUGGGCCCGCGUUGGAUUAGCUAGUUGUUAGGGUAAAAGCCUACCAAGGCGACGAUCCAUAGCUGGUCUGAGAGGAUGAUCAGCCACACUGGGACUGAGACACGGCCCAGACUCCUACGGGAGGCAGCAGUGGGGAAUAUUGGACAAUGGGCGAAAGCCUGAUCCAGCAAUGCCGCGUGAGUGAUGAAGGCCUUAGGGUUGUAAAGCUCUUUUACCCGGGAUGAUAAUGACAGUACCGGGAGAAUAAGCUCCGGCUAACUCCGUG
rnacentral:rRNA from 1 species